UCGAAGAAAAUUCUCACGACAACAACUUUGAUCGUGAUACGGUACCUGGAUCUCUCGUACACGCGCUUCCGUUGUGAUGAUCUCCCGAAUCGAUGCCAACGAAGAUGACCAAAACGACGCUAUGGGGCUCGGUCGAUCUCCUUCGAGUAAUACACACGCGGACGAGACUGCUGGAAAUGUGCUCGCGACGGCCGAGCGAUGACUACUGGUCGUGCCUCCCGACGAGCUCCCCCCGCGUACCACGCGAUCAACCAACCGGCCGGCCCGCCACUGUCCACCACUACUAACUGAAGCACGUCACUGAUAUCCCGAUAUCGCGUAAAUCGUGAGCAUGCGAGAGCGAGAGGUCGUGGUGCGGGAUGCGGGGCCCGUGACGUCUACGUAAACAGAAAGGCUCGCGUGCGAGUCGAUCAUCUCCGAGUUC